GACGAACGCUGGCGGCGUGCUUAACACAUGCAAGUCGAACGAUGAACCCGGAGCUUGCUCCGGUGGAUUAGUGGCGAACGGGUGAGUAACACGUGAGUAACCUGCCCUUGUCUCUGGGAUAACUGCGGGAAACUGUAGCUAAUACCGGAUACGACCCUCGGCGGCAUCGCCAGGGGGUGGAAAGAAUUUCGGUCAAGGAUGGACUCACGGCCUAUCAGCUAGUUGGUGAGGUAACGGCUCACCAAGGCGUAGACGGGUAGCCGGCCUGAGAGGGGUACCGGCCACACGGGGACUGAGACACGGCCCAGACUCCUACGGGAGGCAGCAGUGGGGAAUAUUGCACAAUGAGCGCGAGGCUGAUGCAGCAACGCCGCGGGAGGGAUGACGUCCUUCGGGUUGUAAACCUCUUUUAGUAGGGAAGAAGCGAAAGUGACGGUACCUGAAGUAAAAGCACCGGCUAACUACGUGCCAGCCGCCGCCGUAA
rnacentral:rRNA from 1 species